CUUCGGUACAUCGGUGACAGGUGGUGCAUGGUUGUCGUCAGCUCGUGUCGUGAGAUGUUGGUUAAGUCCCGCGACGAGCGCAACCCCUAUUGUUAGUUGCCAUCAUUCAGUUGGGCACUCUAGCGAGACUGCCGGUAAUAAACCGGAGGAAGGUGGGGAUGACGUCAAAUCAUCAUGCCCCUUAUGACCUGGGCUACACACGUGCUACAAUGGUUGGUACAACGAGUUGCGAGUCGGUGACGGCGAGCUAAUCUCUUAAAGCCAAUCUCAGUUCGGAUUGUAGGCUGCAACUCGCCUACAUGAAGUCGGAAUCGCUAGUAAUCGUGGAUCAGCACGCCGCGGUGAAUACGUUCCCGGGCCUU
rnacentral:rRNA from 1 species